CUGGGAUCCCAGCAGGAAUCCCUACGUGAGCAUUUUUGAGCCCAGUGCAGGUCUGGCCUGGAGAUCGUACCACCCGAGGAAUUCUCAAAAGUUGAAGAGAGGGCUCUGCCUUCUUCCCCCUGGUCCUGCACCUGCCCCUGCUAUGACAUCACUAACGUCUACUCCUGGUCUCCUGAGCAGCCCACAUCUGCUUGUUUGACCAGCCUCAGCCACCGAGGGGUUGAGGGCCCCAGUUCCUGCCACCUACUGUCAUCUGCUCGUGUGCAUGGAGGGGAGAGGCCCAGCAGCCCCUCACUCUGGGCUUCACUAGAACUGGGGCAGAGGCAGAAGUGGGGCACCUCCUGCUGGCCCCCCACUUCUUCCCCUGGGCCCAGGCAUGGAGGUGCCUCUCAGGAUGGAGACCACACUGUGGGAGCUGGCAGUGCGGGAACAGCCAGAUCUCAGGUCCUGGUUCUACUCCUGGGUGUACCCAGAACCUCCACAUCUCUCUCCUCACAGAUCCAGGACCUGCCGGGUUGUGUUGGAAGCUUCCACCAUGCUUCUCAAACGCCACAUGAAACAAGGCUGUAGAUGCAACAUGAGAUUAAAGGCUGAACCUCGUCCAGGUCAGGAAAUUCCAAGGGCAGUCUCCCAGCUCGGCUCCAGCUCCCUCAGUCACCCCCAGGGUGACUUGUCUGCCAGCUUGCGCGGUGGGAUGUCAGGGGACCCAUGCGUGCCGCAGGGGCACCCGCACCCUCCGGAACUUCCUGAGGAUCUGAUGCUCUGAUUUCCCAACCGGCUCUUAAGGACAUUUCCAGCUCCCUCUCUCGGGACAACUUCCAGCCAGCCUCCCUCAUUGCUGUGUCCUGAUGUUUCCUUCUCUAGCCAAACCAUUCCCAUUGGGUUUAUACACUGCUAUUUCCCCAUCUUUAAGACAACCCUCUGUUGUACUCACUUUGUUCCUUCACCUGCUGCCCUAUUUCUUUGCUCCUCUUGGCAGUCAAACUGGUUCACAUUGUGUUCCUAUAUGUGGUUUGCCCCUUGAACACUCUCUGGAGCCCUCGGCAAAAAUUCAUGACACCCUCACUGCCAGUGACCCUCGAGUUGCUAAACCCAAGUCGGCGCUUGGCCUCACCUUACAGACGUCAGGGUGACUGAGCUCCCCAGCCCCUGGUCCUCCACACUGUCCUCACCUGCAUUCCAGGCUCCCUACCCUGGCCCUGCCACCCCCUGGCCUCCCCUCCACUCCCUCCUACCUCCCGUCUCAUGGCUCAGAAAGUCUCUACAUGCCGCCCUGCCCAACCACCUCAAGUUCAGACGGGCGCCAAGAGUUUGAACCCCAACCUCCCGGCCUCACCGGGCCUGCUUGCCUCCACCUUCCUUCUCAUGCAAAAACAGCUCUCUUUCCUUACACACACCUCUCAUCUGGUCGCCUGUGAAGGAAACCCAGGACCUGACACCUCUGGUCAUCUCCCUGCUGCCUCCCACCUGCCCAAACACUCUUAUUACCCCCUGAAUCCUGUUGAAAUGUGCAACUCCUCAAAGACCGCACGGCUCCCUUUUGCAGAGCUCAGAGCAGGAGCCCAAAUGCUAGCAUGACGCCCCCAGCUGCUCUCUCCCUUCCCUCUGCCUCUUGCCCCUCUUGUUCUGUUCCUACAAACCUUGUCUCCCGAGCUCCCACAAAAUACAUGUCCCCAUUUCUAGCUCUGCCCCUGGGGCUCCAUGGCUCUCCCUUCUUCAAGUCUUAUCUCAAAUACCUCCUUCCCCGGCACCCCAUUUUAAACUGC
rnacentral:lncRNA from 1 species